UGUGACUGGUUGUGACGCAGUUCUAAAAUAGACGAACAACAUUUAAGCUCAGCAGGUCCAAGUAGAGAAGACAUCCCACAAGUCUGAAGUUCUGACUGUCUUCAAAGGAAACUUUUGACAAACUUGGAACUUCAAGGGUUUGUGCAGAUAAUUGGGAAAGUCUUGGUUGUGACUGACAGCUGUCCCUGCAUCAUAAUCUAGGUUCCAGGUUUGACAUCCCAAGUGUACAGUUGCAGCUGGGGAAUAGCUUACAGGUGUCAAUCUUCACAACAUCAGUAUUGAGG